rnacentral:rRNA from 1 species
AACGAACGCUGGCGGCAUGCCUAACACAUGCAAGUCGAACGGGAUCCUAGCUUGCUAGGUGAGAGUGGCGGACGGGUGAGUAACACGUGGGAAUCUGCCUUUUGGUUCGGGAUAACCGCGGGAAACUGCGGCUAAUACCGAAUGCCCUCGUGAGAGGAAAGAUUUAUCGCCAGAAGAGGAGCCCGCGUCCGAUUAGGUAGUUGGUGGGGUAAAGGCCUACCAAGCCGACGAUCGGUAGCUGGUCUGAGAGGAUGAUCAGCCACACUGGGACUGAGAUACGGCCCAGACUCCUACGGGAGGCAGCAGUGGGGAAUAUUGGACAAUGGGGCGAACCCUGAUCCAGCAAUGCCGCGUGAGUGAUGAAGGCCUUAGGGUUGUAAAGCUCUUUUGCCAGGGAAGAUGAUGACUGUACCUGGAGAAUAAGCCCCGGCUAACUUCGUGCCAGCAGCCGCGGUAAU